rnacentral:misc_RNA from 1 species
UCCCGUUUGACACGGGCAGUCCCUUUAGAGUGCCCAACUUAAUGAUGGCAACUAAAGGCAAGGGUUGCGCUCGUUGCGGGACUUAACCCAACAUCUCACGACACGAGCUGACGACAGCCAUGCAGCACCUGUGUUACGGCUCUCUUUCGAGCACCCUCACAUCUCUAUGAGGUUCCGUACAUGUCAAGGGUAGGUAAGGUUUUUCGCGUUGCGUCGAAUUAAACCACAUGCUCCGCUGCUUGUGCGGGUCCCCGUCAAUUCCUUUGAGUUUUAGCCUUGCGGCCGUACUCCCCAGGCGGCGGACUUAGUGCGUUAGCUUCGGCACGGAAGGGGUCGAUGUCCCCCCACACCUAGCACCCAACGUUUACGGCUAGGACUAC